AGAUUGAACGCUGGCGGCAGGCCUAACACAUGCAAGUCGAGCGGUAGAGAGGUGCUUGCACCUCUUGAGAGCGGCGGACGGGUGAGUAAUGCCUAGGAAUCUGCCUAGUGGUGGGGGAUAACGUUCGGAAACGGACGCUAAUACCGCAUACGUCCUACGGGAGAAAGCGGGGGACCUUCGGGCCUCGCGCCAUUAGAUGAGCCUAGGUCGGAUUAGCUAGUUGGUGAGGUAAUGGCUCACCAAGGCGACGAUCCGUAACUGGUCUGAGAGGAUGAUCAGUCACACUGGAACUGAGACACGGUCCAGACCUCCGUACGGGAGCAGCGA
rnacentral:rRNA from 1 species